UGUUUUGCCUCCAUUUGUUCGUGCUUACCUCUUUAAGUUGUUUUCCGUCUGUCUAUUUGUGACUUCGCCGAUCGUCCUCUUGUGGGUCCUCUCCUCCAGACGUCCCUCAACCUUACUCCUCUGAUGUCAGAACCAGCUUCCUGAUCGGACUCUCUGAUUCCUCAGAUGGACAGUCUGUUACUUCACUCCAUGCUUCAACUCAUCACUGGUUUGGUUUUCUGUCUCCUCCUAAUUCACCACUGUAGAGGUCAGUCUGAGUCAGUGGAUUCACUUCAACCAAUUAUAGCAAGAGUUGGUGAUGACGUUGUUCUACCGUGUCAAAUCAAACCUUCGGUUGACGUUUCUGAAGCAACGUUGGAGUGGAUGAGGUUGGACCUAUUCGUCCUGGUGUGGCGUAAUGGUGCAGACUUUAAAAUGCAAAAAGAUCCGUCCUACAGAGGAAGAACAUCUCUGUUCCCUGAUGAACUGAAACAUGGAAACGUUUCACUGAAACUCUUCGAUGUGAAGCUGUCUGAUAAAGGAACAUACAGAUGUUACAUUGUAGAGAAGAAUAGAGAGAUGUUUGUUGAGCUUGUUGUUGUGUCAGCUCCUGUCUCCUCACCCGUCAUCAGUUUAUCAGGGAUGGACAGAGACAGAG